rnacentral:rRNA from 1 species
GAGUUUGAUGUGGCUCAGAUUGAACGCUGGCGGCAUGCCUUACACAUGCAAGUCGAACGGCAGCACGGGAGCUUGCUCCUGGUGGCGAGUGGCGAACGGGUGAGUAAUGCAUCGGAACGUAUCCUGGAGUGGGGGAUAACGUAGCGAAAGUUACGCCAAUACCGCAUAUUCUGUGAGCAGGAAAGCGGGGGACCUUCGGGCCUCGCGCUCUUGGAGCGGCCGAUGUCGGAUUAGCUAGUUGGUGAGGUAAAGGCUCACCAAGGCGACGAUCCGUAGCAGGUCUGAGAGGAUGAUCUGCCACACUGGAACUGAGACACGGUCCAGACUCCUACGGGAGGCAGCAGUGGGGAAUUUUGGACAAUGGGGGCAACCCUGAUCCAGCCAUGCCGCGUGAGUGAAGAAGGCCUCGG